UGGCGGCGUGCCUAAUACAUGCAAGUCGAGCGAUAAGUUUGCUAUUUAUACUUCGGUAAAUUUAGCAAGCGGAGAGCGGCGGACGGGUGAGUAACGCGUAGGCAACCUACCUUGUACAGAGGGAUAGCCGUUGGAAACGACGAUUAAAACCUCAUAAUACCAUCAUUUCACAUGGAAAGAUGGUCAAAGUUUUAUCGGUACAAGAUGGGCCUGCGUCUGAUAGUUAGUUGGUGAGGUAGCGGCUCACCAAGGCAGUGAUCAGUAGCCGACCUGAGAGGGUGAUCGGCCACAUUGGAACUGAGACACGGUCCAAACUUCUACGGAAGGCAGCAGUAUGGAAUCUUGCACAAUGGGCGAAAGCCUGAUGCAGAACGCCGCGUGAAGGAUGAAGGGCCUAGGGUCGUAAACUUCUGUUCUUGGGGAAGAUAAUGACGGUACCCAAGGAGCAAGCCCCGGCUAACUACGU
rnacentral:rRNA from 1 species